CGGGCCGUAGUGUAUCGGCAACAUGCACGGUUCGGGUCCGUGAGAUAGAGGGUUCGACUCCCUCCGGCCCGACCU
rnacentral:tRNA from 6 species